rnacentral:sRNA from 1 species
GCACCGCCUGUCAGUAUGGCCGUGUCGGC